rnacentral:rRNA from 1 species
UGCUCACCGUGUGAAUCUGCACACAGCGUUUGUUUUUCAAACGUGUUGUGCCGAGUUGUGGUCUGCAGGGGCGACGUUGGGUCGGCGGUUCGGGCCAAGUCCUUUGGAAAAAGGCAGCAGAGAGGGUGAGACUCCCGUAUCCUGCCUGGACUUGCCGUGCCCACAUACACGCGCCUCCUACGAGUCGAGUUGUUUGGGAUUGCAGCUCAAAGCGGGUGGUAAAUUCCAUCCAAAGCUAAAUAUUGGUGGGAGACCGAUAGCGAACAAGUACCGUGAGGGAAAGGUGAAAAGAACUUUGAAAAGAGAGUUAAAGAGUACCUGAAAUUGCUGAAAGGGAAGCGAAGGAAACCAGUGUCUUGUCCUCCCAUUUUUCCCCCGCCGUCUUAUUCGACGGGGGCGCUGUGGGUGUGACGUGGGCCAGCAUGGGUUUGCGCCGGUACAAAUGGUCAUGGAGGAGGUGGGUCCAUUUCGGUCCGAAGACUCCAUGAUGUAUUCUUAUAUAUACCGGCGUGGGCCGAGGCU